rnacentral:rRNA from 1 species
UACGGGGGGGGUAAGCGUUGUUCGGAAUUACUGGGCGUAAAGGGCUCGUAGGCGGCCAACUAAGUCAGACGUGAAAUCCCUCAGCUUAACUGGGGAACUGCGUCUGAUACUGGAUGGCUUGGAUUCGGGAGAGGAAUGCGGAAUUCCAGGUGUAGCGGUGAAAUGCGUAGAUAUCAGGAAGAACACCCGUGGCGAAGGCGGCUCUCUGGGACGGUACUGACGCUGAGACGCGAAAGCGUGGGGAGCGAACAGG